rnacentral:rRNA from 1 species
UACAGAGGUCCCAAGCGUUGUUCGGAUUCACUGGGCGUAAAGGGUGCGUAGGUGGCCAGGUAAGUUCGGUGUGAAAGCUCGGAGCUUAACUCCGAAAUGGCAUUGAAUACUAUCUGGCUAGAGGGUCGGAGGGGAGACUGGAAUUCUCGGUGUAGCAGUGAAAUGCGUAGAUAUCGAGAGGAACACCAGUGGCGAAGGCGAGUCUCUGGACAGUUCCUGACACUGAGGCACGAAGGCCAGGGGAGCAAACGGG